GACGAACGCUGGCGGCGUGCCUAAUACAUGCAAGUCGAGCGGGCGAAUCGAAAGCUUGCUUUUGAUUCGUUAGCGGCGGACGGGUGAGUAACACGUGGGCAACCUGCCCUGUAGACGGGGAUAACACCGAGAAAUCGGUGCUAAUACCGGAUAACACGAAAUGUCGCAUGACGUUUCGUUGAAAGACGGCGCAAGCUGUCGCUACAGGAUGGGCCCGCGGCGCAUUAGCUAGUUGGUGAGGUAACGGCUCACCAAGGCGACGAUGCGUAGCCGACCUGAGAGGGUGAUCGGCCACACUGGGACUGAGACACGGCCCAGACUCCUACGGGAGGCAGCAGUAGGGAAUCUUCCGCAAUGGACGAAAGUCUGACGGAGCAACGCCGCGUGAGCGAAGAAGGCCUUCGGGUCGUAAAGCUCUGUUGUUAGGGAAGAACAAGUAACGCAGUAACUGGCGUUACCGUGACGGUACCUAACGAGAAAGCCACGGCUAACUACGUG
rnacentral:rRNA from 1 species